rnacentral:rRNA from 1 species
UGGCAUGGUUGUCGUCAGCUCGUGCCGUGAGGUGUCGGGUUAAGUCCCAUAACGAGCGCAACCCUUAUCGUUAGUUGCCAGCUGGUAAAGCAGGGGACUCUAGCGAAACUGCCACCGUAAGGUGAGAGGAAGGUGGGAUGACGUCAAAUCAGCACGGCCCUUAUGUCCAGGGCUACACACGUGUUACAAUGGCCGGCACAGAGGGCAGCUACCUGGUGACAGGAUGCUAAUCUCGAAAAACCGGUCUCAGUUCGGAUCGAAGUCUGCAACUCGACUUCGUGAAGCUGGAUUCGCUAGUAAUCGCGCAUCAGCCAUGGCCGCGGUCCGAAUACGUUCCCGGGCCUU